rnacentral:rRNA from 1 species
GAGGAAGGAGGGAGGCGUGCCUAAUACAUGCAAGUCGAGCGAACAGACGAGGAGCUUGCUCCUCUGACGUUAGCGGCGGACGGGUGAGUAACACGUGGAUAACCUACCUAUAAGACUGGGAUAACUUCGGGAAACCGGAGCUAAUACCGGAUAAUAUAUUGAACCGCAUGGUUCAAUAGUGAAAGACGGUUUUGCUGUCACUUAUAGAUGGAUCCGCGCCGCAUUAGCUAGUUGGUAAGGUAACGGCUUACCAAGGCAACGAUGCGUAGCCGACCUGAGAGGGUGAUCGGCCACACUGGAACUGAGACACGGUCCAGACUCCUACGGGAGGCAGCAGUAGGGAAUCUUCCGCAAUGGGCGAAAGCCUGACGGAGCAACGCCGCGUGAGUGAUGAAGGUCUUCGGAUCGUAAAACUCUGUUAUUAGGGAAGAACAAAUGUGUAAGUAACUAUGCACGUCUUGACGGUACCUAAUCAGAAAGCCACGGCUAACUACGUG